rnacentral:rRNA from 1 species
AGUGAACGCCGGCGGUAGGCCUAACACAUGCAAGUCGAACGGCAGCACAGAGGAGCUUGCUCCUUGGGUGGCGAGUGGCGGACGGGUGAGGAAUACAUCGGAAUCUACUCUGUCGUGGGGGAUAACGUAGGGAAACUUACGCUAAUACCGCAUACGACCUACGGGUGAAAGCAGGGGAUCUUCGGACCUUGCGCGAUUGAAUGAGCCGAUGUCGGAUUAGCUAGUUGGCGGGGUAAAGGCCCACCAAGGCGACGAUCCGUAGCUGGUCUGAGAGGAUGAUCAGCCACACUGGAACUGAGACACGGUCCAGACUCCUACGGGAGGCAGCAGUGGGGAAUAUUGGACAAUGGGCGCAAGCCUGAUCCAGCCAUACCGCGUGGGUGAAGAAGGCCUUCGGGUUGUAAAGCCCUUUUGUUGGGGAAGAAAUCCAUCUGGUUAAUACCCGGGUGGGAUGACGGUACCCAAAGAAUAAGCACCGGCUAACUUCGUGCCAGCCGCCGCAGUAA